GGGAAGUGAAGGAAUGGGCGGCUGAGGGAAGAGCACUCCAGAUCAUGCAUGGCCAGUGCAAAGAGCCUGGGGUGGGGCAGGAGCAAGCCUGGCAUUGUGGAGGAACAGAUGGCCUGGGGAAGCUGGAGCAGGGUUUGUGAGGGGGAGAGAGUCAUUUCACAGAGGCUUCAGGAUGGAGUUGUGAUAAACGCAUGUGUUCAGUCUACAAUGUUUAACAGAGACUGCCUCCUGAUUUUUUUCAUGUGAAUUACUGAAGAGUAGGUAGUAGACUAUCUUGAUGCCUUUCCUCACGUCCCUUGACUCUGAGUUGACCUGCAGCUGCAGUGAACACUUCCUAAGGAUUCUGACGGCUUCCCCUGUCAAGCACCUGCCUCGUUCUGCUUCUCCGAGGAUUUCCUCCAGUACACCAAGAGCUUGCCCGACACUCACAAGGUAUCCUGGAAUUGCUGGGGACUGAAAACCCCUCAACCCAUGAAGAAUUAGGAUCAGUGGAUUAAUAUGUAACUGUCCCAUACCUUGGUGGGACUAUUAUAAGGCAUUCUGCUUGGUUCCUCAGAGGUCCCAAAUGGGAUUGAACCCAAGUUGCCCACAGUAAAAACCCAUUCACCAAUUCAAUUUUCUAUUUCACCUCUCUCACUUUGCACACUCACUCACUUGUUCUACCUGAGAUACUCUCCAAGAUAAACUCCUGUGUCAAAAGCUUUGUCUCAAGGUCUGAUUUUGGAGGAAUUCAAACCAAGAUAAUGGGUACUGGUAGUGACUAUAGAAAGUAUAUUCUCAACGGUGUGGAGGCGACAAAAACCCCAUUAAUGGUGGUGAGUAAGGUGGUGACAAACCCUGGCACUUUGAAGAUUUCAUUACCCACAAUUCACCCGUGGUGUACUUGGAUGAGAUAAAGGUGAAAGGAGAUGCUUACCUUAUGCAGUAGUGCUAACUCCUGAAAGAAAUAGGGCUGUGAUAAUCACAUGAAUUGAAGAGUUGUCUUAUUCUUGUUAACUCCCCUAGAAGAAUUGGGAAAAAAAAGAAAGAUAGGUUUACAACGUCCAACUAUCCAUUCAGAGCAUAGUAAUGAAAGCCAGAAGGUCUCCUUGGGAGGAUCUAAAGAGACCUCCAUUUCCUGCAACCAGACGACAGGCUGUUCUAAAAAAUGACAGUCAGGGGUUCAUUGCAAGAGGAAUUGAACUACAGAGCACAUUGAAGGCACAGUCCAGGCAGGCCUCUCAUGCAAAAGUCAAAGCCCUAGAGGAAGGAAAUGGUCCUUAAAAACUACUGGGAUGCAGGCAGGCAUCUGGAUAGAUGUGUUAGAUAACCUUGAACCCCUAGAUUCCCUGAACAACUCAGGCUAGCAGGGGUAUCCUGCACCCUGUUACUUGAACAGAACAGCUUCCCAUUGCCUAGAGACUCUACACAGUCCUCCUCUGAGGCAGACACCUCCAAGAUUACUUCAAGGUCUGCUACUGCCUGCCCUCAUUGCCUCUAUUCCAAAAA
rnacentral:lncRNA from 1 species